rnacentral:rRNA from 1 species
GUUAUAGUAGCUUAUUCCAUUUGGAAGGUUUUUGGUUUAAGAUAGCUUUUCUUUCCCCUACUUUUAAGUCUAUCAGCUGCAACAAGGGCUUCGGGAACGAAUUCAUAACGCGUGGGAAUCUGCCGAAAAGUUUGGGUCAAAUCCUGAAGUAAGCUAAAAAGCAUUGUUUAAUUAGCCUGCAUAGUAUUAGGUAGUUGAUCAGUUAAAGGCUGACCAAGCCAAUGAUGCUUAGCUGGUUUGCCACAAUGGAACUGAGACACGGCCCGGACUCCCACGGGGCGCAACAGUGGGGAAUCUUAAACAACGGGAGAAAGCCCGAUCCAGCAAUAUCGCGUGAGUGAAGAAGGGCAAUGCCGCUUGUAAAGCUCUUUCGCCAAGUGAGCAAUCAUGAAAGGACUCAAGGAAGAAGCCCCAGCUAACUCCGUGCCAGCAGCUGCGGUAAGACGAGGGGGCAAGUGUUCUUUCGAAUGACUGGGCGUAAAGGGCACGUAAGCAGUGAAUCGGUGUUGCAUGGCUAUCGUCAUCUCGUGUCGUGAGAUGUUUGGUAAAAUCCUAUAACGAGUUAAACCCUCGUUUUGUGUUACUGAGACAUGUGCCUAAGGAGAAAGUCUUUUCAACCUGAAGUGAGCCGAGGAUCCGAGUGAUGUGUCAGCGCUACUAAUUGAGUGCCAUUACCUAGUUGUGCUGUCAGUAUGAAAGCUGGUGCCUUUCGAAGCACUUUCUAUAUGUAGUUAGCAUUGUUUUAUUAUUGCUGCUAGUGCGCUUGACUAAUAAGAUAGAAAGGGCCUUUCUCGCAUGUUAAGUAAAGUUAUGUUUUUGACCUUAUCUUGCAGGUGAAGACGACGUCGAGUAGACGGCAGAGAAAGACUCGGCAUUCAGGCGAGCCACCCGGUGGUGUGGUACAUAGUGGGUUUAGUACACCCCGCCCAAACAAAAUGCUUCGAAACAAACAAAUAGGUGUGUGCUGGAAUCACGAAGGACUUCCAGUAAUAUACUAGAGGAAAGUGGGGACGAUUUCAAGUCCUCAUGGCCCUUAUAUGCUGGGCCACACACGUGCUACAUUGACAAUUACAAUGGGAAGCAAGGUUGUAAGGCGGAGCAUAUCCGGAAAGAUUGCCUCAGUUUGGAUUGUUCUCUGCAACUCGGGAACAUAAAGUUUGAAUCACUAGUAAUUGCGGAUCAGCAUACCGCGGUGAAUAUGUGCUCGGGCCCUAAACACAUAGCCCGUCACACCUUGGGAAUUGGUUCGCCCGAAGCAUCGGACAAAUGAUCACCCAUGACUUCUGUGGAAACAAAGUCCUUUGGUGGUGUUAUUGGCGCACACCAUGGUGGGGUCUUCGACUGUGGUGAAGUCUUAAUAAGUUAGCCGUAGGCGAACCUGUGGCCG